AUUGAACGCUGGCGGCAUGCCUUACACAUGCAAGUCGAACGGCAGCGCGGGGCAACCUGGCGGCGAGUGGCGAACGGGUGAGUAAUAUAUCGGAACAUACCCUAGAGUGGGGGAUAACGUAGCGAAAGUUACGCUAAUACCGCAUACGCACUAAGGUGGAAAGUGGGGGAUUCGCAAGAACCUCAUGCUCAUGGAGUGGCCGAUAUCUGAUUAGCUAGUUGGUGAGGUAAAGGCUCACCAAGGCAACGAUCAGUAGCUGGUUUGAGAGAACGACCAGCCACACUGGAACUGAGACACGGUCCAGACUCCUACGGAGGCAGCAGUGGGGAAUCUUGGACAAUGGGGAACCCUGAUCCAGCCAUGCCGCGUGAGUGAUGAAGGCCUUC
rnacentral:rRNA from 1 species